AUACGUAGGGGGCUAGCGUUAUCCGGAAUUACUGGGCGUAAAGGGUUCGUAGGUGGUUUCUUAAGUCAGAUGUGAAAGAUCAUGGCUUAACUGUGGUAAGCAUUUGAAACUGCAGGGCUUGCGUACAGGAGAGGAGAGUGGAAUUCCUAGUGUAGCGGUGAAAUGCGUAGAUAUUAGGAGGAAUACCAGUGGCGAAGGCGACUCUCUGGACUGAUACUGACGCUGAGGCACGAAAGCGUGGGGAGCAAACAGGAUUAGAUACCCUGGUAGUCCACGCUAUAAACGAUGAGUGCUAGGUGUCGGGGGUCAAACCUCGGUGCCGCAGUUAACACAUUAAGCACUCCGCCUGGGGAGUACGGCCGCAAGGCUGAAACUCAAAGGAAUUGACGGGG
rnacentral:rRNA from 1 species